rnacentral:rRNA from 1 species
GACGAACGCUGGCGGCGUGCCUAAUACAUGCAAGUAGAACGCGGUUGCGCACGGGGGAGUGACGCAUAGGUAUCUGCCUGGUUGCGGGGGGUAACUAUUUGAAACGCUAGCUAAAACCGCAUACUACCAGAUGGACCUGCGUUGUAUUCGCUAGUUGGUUAGGGAACGGCGCACCAAGGCAACGAUACAUAGCCGAACUGAGAGGGGGGUCGGCCAAACUGGGAACGAGACACGGCCCAGAAUCCUACGGGAGGCCGCAGGAGGGAAUCUUCGGCAAUGGGGGGAAACCUGACCGAGCAACGCCGCGGGAGUGAAGAAGGUUUUCGGGUCGUAAAGCUCUGUUGUUAAGGAAGCGGUACUUAACCAGAAAGGGACGGCUAACUACGUGCCAGCAGCCGCGGUAAUUC